rnacentral:rRNA from 2 species
UUUGGAAGUAAAAUCGUAACAAGGUCUCCGUAGGUGAACCUGCGGAGGGAUCAUUAACGAGUUAGGGCCUCUGGCCCGACCUCCAACCCUUUGUCUCCAAAACCUCGUUGCCUUGGGGGCGGCCCUGCCUUCGGCGGGUCCCCCGGAGGACCACUACAACUCUGCAUUUUAAUGUCGUCUGAGUAAGAUUUUUAAUGAAAUCAAAACUUUCAACAACGGAUCUCUUGGUUCUGGCAUCGAUGAAGAACGCAGCGAAAUGCGAUAAGUAAUGUGAAUUGCAGAAUUCAGUGAAUCAUCGAAUCUUUGAACGCAUAUUGCGCCCCUUGGUAUUCCUUGGGGCACACCUGUUCGAGCGUCAUUUCACCAAUCAAGCCUCGCUUGGUUUUGGGCGAUGCGCAUGCCGCACGCCCCAAAUGAAAUCGGCCGAGCGUGCUCUCCCCCGGCGUCGUGGAAACAUAUCGCCACGGGGAUGGGAUCGCCCUCGUGCCGCAAAAACCUCUCUCAAAGGUUGACCUCGGAUCAGGUGGGGAUACCCGCUGAACUUAAGCAUAUCAAUAA